UACGUAGGGUGCAAGCGUUGUCCGGAAUUAUUGGGCGUAAAGAGCGUGUAGGCGGCCAGGUAGGUCUGCUGUGAAAACUCGAGGCUCAACCUCGAGACGUCGGCGGAAACCAUCUGGCUAGAGUCCGGAAGAGGAGAGUGGAAUUCCUGGCGUAGCGGUGAAAUGCGCAGAUAUCAGGAAGAACACCCGUGGCGAAGGCGGCUCUCUGGGACGGUACUGACGCUGAGACGCGAAAGCGUGGGGAGCAAACAGG
rnacentral:rRNA from 1 species